GAGGAAUAUUGCGCAAUGGAGGCAGCUCUGACGCAGCCAUGCCGCGUGCAGGAAGACGGCCCUAUGGGUUGUAAACUGCUUUUAUACGGGAAUAAUCCCUGGUACGUGUACUGGGUUGAAUGUACCGUAGGAAUAAGCAUCGGCUAACUCCGUGCCAGCAGCCGCGGUAAUACGGAGGAUGCGAGCGUUAUCCGGAUUUAUUGGGUUUAAAGGGUGCGUAGGCGGAAAAGUAAGUCAGUGGUGAAAUCUUGCAGCUUAACUGUAAAAUAGCCAUUGAUACUGCAUUUCUUGAGUACAAUUGAGGUAGGCGGAAUGUGUAAUGUAGCGGUGAAAUGCUUAGAUAUUACACAGAACACCGAUUGCGUAGGCAGCUUACUAAGUUGUAACUGACGCUGAUGCACGAAAGCGUGGGUAGCGAAC
rnacentral:rRNA from 1 species